rnacentral:tRNA from 1 species
GCAUCGAUGGCUCAGUGGUAGAAUUCUUGCCUGUCACGCGAGAGGCCUGGAUUCGAACCCAGGCCAAUGCA